CCGGUUUCUAUAAAGUGGAAAUCAACAAUCUGCUGGAGAUGAAGAAGAUUUAAUUUUUAUAUAUAUUUACAACCCAAAGAGUGACAUCUUAUCAGUCAGGUGGAGAUUGACUCAACAUUGUUUUUACAGCACACAGCCUCCUGUAACCGGCCCGUCAUCGUUCACGUUGUCAUGUGCGACUGCACCUGCCGGACGAGCGGAGCGGUAUGUGGAUGUGUCUCGACACGCUGAGAUGUAUGUGUUUACCUCAGAGCUACAGCUGUCUGAUCAGUUUGCUCUAGUAACACAGAGCGAUUAAAAACGGCCUCAGGCUUCAGUCACAGAGAGACUCUCACGGAUCUGACAGCGACACUGUGAGCUGUUGGUUCAGAUGAUGUCUAACCUAUUGAAAACUGUCACGGAUUAAAAGUCGACAUCAAGUG